UUUCCUACGGGAGGCAGCAGUGGGGAAUUUGGACAAUGGGGAAAGCCUGAUCCAGCAAUGCCGCGUGGGUAAGAAGGCCUUCGGGUUUAAAGCACUUUGGCUGGGAGGAAAUCCAGGGGGUUAAUACCGUGGGGGUGACGUUACCCGAAGAAUAGCACCGGCUUAUUUUGG
rnacentral:rRNA from 1 species